AGGUGUGAUCAUACCAGCAGUAAUGCGCCAGAUCCCAUCAGAACUCCGCAGUAAAACGUGCUUGGGCAAGAGUAAUACUAGGAUAGAUGACCUCUUAAGAAGUUCUCGUGUUGCACCUU
rnacentral:rRNA from 1 species